rnacentral:siRNA from 1 species
AUAUGGUAGUCUAUGCAAAGAGGU